CGCCGUAAAUCUAUGGAUGCAAUUGUGUCACUCCAAGAUUGUUUACUAUUUUGAGAAAUAUUAAAAGUUGUUGUGAUUAUAAAGUACAAUAUGUCCAUUUUAUUAAUAGACUGUUAUCAGUGAACUGUUAUAUAAGUGCUACUUCUUGGGAUAUGUUAAAGUUUAGGGCCUUGUUAUCGUUUCAUUUGUGAACGUGUUUACGUGAGUGUUUUAAAAUGUUUCGUGUGGAUGAAGUGAUAUUUUUUGUGUACAAUAGUGGAAUAAAAUAGUGUCAGUUCUGCUGAAUAUUCAUGUGUUUUAGGAGCGUUGAGCAGCAAUAUAAAGGGCGAACUUCACUUCAUACAAACAAAGAGUGGGCAUUUGCAACUGAUAUAUGAACCAUAUAUUUUUGUGACGGACAGCGUGCGCAGCGGCCGCACGUUCUGGAGGUGCAUGGAGUAUGGCAAGCGGUGUCGCGCCCGGAUCACUUCGAAAAACAAUGUGCUUCGGAUAACGAACCCGGUGCACAACCACCUCGAGAACCACAUGGCAAAAAUAACACGCAAAUAUGAACUGGGCGAAGUGGUCACUUGUCCCACAGUUUAGGAUAACAUUUUUGUAUUAUGGUAAAGCAAUAAGACAUUUUGUCAAAACUUUUGUGUGGUUAGUGCAUGUUGUGGCCUAAUAAUUGUUUAGAUCAGCCACCAAGUUUGACUUGAGUUUUUAUUUUGCGUUUGUCUUUAAGUCUUAUCUUUUUGUAAAAUUACUCUAUUGUAAUUAUUCUUUUGUGUGUAAUUAAACGGUAAUUUCAAACUGAAACAUCAUUUCUCCAAGAUAUUUUGUCAAUAUCUCCGAUUCUAGUGAUGUUGAUGAACUGUUUAUAAUGUAAUUUUAAUUAAAAUCAUCAAUCGUCUAGUUUUGAAAUCUAAACCAUUGUGAUCAGUAAUAUUAAGUUAAUAAAUUGUAAAGUUCAAUAAAGGUUUCGAUUGGA